CGUCAGCUCGUGUCGUGAGAUGUUGGGUUAAGUCCCGCAACGAGCGCAACCCCUAUUGUUAGUUGCCAUCAUUCAGUUGGGCACUCUAGCGAGACUGCCGGUAAUAACCGGAGGAAGUGGGGAUGACGUCAAAUCAUCAUGCCCCUUAUGACCUGGGCUACACACGUGCUACAAUGGUUGGUACAACGAGUUGCGAGUCGGUGACGGCGAGCUAAUCUCUUAAAGCCAAUCUCAGUUCGGAUUGUAGGCUGCAACUCGCCUACAUGAAGUCGGAAUCGCUAGUAAUCGCGGAUCGGCACGCCGCGGUGAAUACGUUCCCGGGCCUU
rnacentral:rRNA from 1 species